rnacentral:lncRNA from 1 species
CAUAAAUACUCUUCAAGUGUCUCAAUAAUGUUACUGUUUGGUUAACUUCAUCUUUUACAGCCUGCACUUAAUUUAAGGGACCUUGGAUUGUCUGAAUUAAAAGUUGGACAGAUUGACCAAUUGGUAGAAGAUCUACUUCCUGGAUUUUACAGAGGCAAAAGUAUUUCUUCCCACUGGCACACAUCUCAUAUCUCUGCACAGUCCUUCUUUGAAAAUAAAUAUGGUCACUUAGAUAUGUUUAGUGCUUUACGUUCCACUUGCUUGUUUCGACAGCAUCCAAGAACUCUUCAAAGAAUUUGUUCAGAUCUUCAUUACUGGCCAGUUUUUAUACAGUCUCGGGGUUUUAAAACUUUGAAAUCGAGGACACGACGUCUGCAGUCCACCUCUGAAAGAGUAGCAGAAACACAGAAUGUAGCACCAUCCUUUGUGAAGGGGUUUCUUUUGCGGGACAGAGGAUCAGAUGUUGAGAGUUUGGACAAACUCAUGAAAACGAAAAACAUACCUGAAGCUCAUCAAGAUGCAUUUAAAACUGGUUUUGCAGAGGGUUUUCUGAAAGCUCAAACAUUAACACAAAAAACCAAUGAUUCUUUAAGGCGAACUCGUUUAAUUCUUUUUGUUCUGCUUCUGUUUGGCAUUUAUGGACUCUUAAAAAAUCCAUUUUUAUCUGUCCGCUUCUGGACUACUACCGGGCUUGAUUCUGCAGUAGAUCCUGUUCAGAUGAAAAAUGUCACUUUUGAGCACGUUAAAGGAUCUAACAUACGUGCAUUCACCAGUGAAGUUGUCAUGGCUAAAACUCCUGGCACCAGCUUCUACCUAGACAUCAACUGUCAUCCCGUCGACUCCCCUAGACUCCAGUACAGUGCCCUCGGCCAGCAGGAAGUAGUUAAAGAGAGAAAUCUUUGCCCCUUUUCCUAA